AGCAUCAACAGAAAACGCAAAAUUACAUUUCUUAAAGGAAACUACCCAGAUUAUUUGCUUAAUCCUCAGGCACGAGCAGCUCAUCUGAAAUAAUUAGGGCAGCUGUAUAUUGUGUGUCUUACUGUAUACAGGGGAGGAUCUGAUUCUUUCUGCUGGGAUUUUUUUUCUUAUAAAGAGGCAGUGUCUUUGCAACGGAGCAGGUUUACCGAAUAAAUCCCUUUUCUCUAGACAGCAUGUUGCAAGAAGAGAAUCUGAUAUUUCCACCACCUGUGAAGCAGCUGAAAUAAUGUAAAUGCCAGUUGGAGGUUACAAUGGAUCAGUGAUACUGUAUAUCUGAACAGAAAGGAGAAUCAAGAGACUCUUGGAAAAAAAAACCAUCAGUCACUGAAGACAAUUUACUAUGUGUGGGCAUCUGCUUUAAAUCUGUUUAUAGCACCUGACAACCAUAUUCAUUAAGUAGAUGAUCUUAUUUAGCAGCAGCUUGUUUCUUGCUACAGGGAAGAAGGGAAAAUCUCUCAGCCUUGCCACUAUUUCUCCUUCCCCAGGAAGAAGCUUUUGGAUUCAGCACUGAAUGCAGGGACAGCGGCUGAGCUCCAGUUGUGCCUUUGAUGUGUGGAUUGUUAUUAAAUGAGUUUUCAAUUCCCUCUGACGAUCAUGCUUUAUUUUCAGAUGGUGAUAAUGGCAGGGACUGUAAUGCUGGCUUAUUACUUCGAGUAUACGGACACGUUCACUGUGAAUGUCCAGGGUUUUUUCUGCUACGAUAGUUCUUACACAAAGCCCUAUCCAGGACCGGAUGAGAGCAGUGACAUCCCACCUGUCCUCCUUCUCUCCCUGGUCACAGGGGUACCAGUACUUGUGAUAAUCGUUGGAGAAACGGUAGUGUUUUGCCUACAGGUAGCAACAAGAGAUUUUGAAAACCAGGAAAAGACUCUCUUAACUGGAGACUGUUGCUAUAUUAAUCCACUGGUGCGAAGAACUGUCCGAUUUCUUGGAAUUUAUACUUUUGGAUUGUUUGCUACAGAUAUAUUUGUAAAUGCUGGACAAGUUGUUACAGGGAAUCUGGCCCCACAUUUCCUUACUGUUUGUAAACCCAACUAUACAGCACUUGGUUGUCAACAGUUUACACAAUUUAUUACUGAUGCCAAUGCUUGCACUGGAAACCCAGAUCUUGUUAUCAAAGCCAGAAGAACAUUUCCAUCCAAAGAUGCAGCUCUUAGUGUUUAUGCAGCUUUGUACCUGGCAAUUUAUAUUACCAGCACAAUCAAAGCCAAAGGAACACGACUCGCCAAACCUGUCCUAUGUUUGUGUUUAAUGUGUUUGGCGUUUCUUACUGGAAUAAACAGGGUGGCGGAAUAUCGCAAUCAUUGGUCUGAUGUCAUAGCAGGGUUUCUUAUUGGAAUAUCAAUAGCUGUUUUUCUGGUAGUAUGUGUGGUAAAUAAUUUUAAGGGACGACGAACAGAACAUGAACACUGGACGACUGAUAACUUUGGCCAGAUGCCAAUGAUCAGCAUCCCUCGGGUAGAGAAUCCUUUGGAGAAGCCCAGAUCUUGCCAUCCUGAUUUCUGUUCUUGAAGUUCCUGGAUUCCUGUUCCUGAGACCCUCCCUCAGUCUGUGAUUCCCUAGCCUGUCUUAUUGGAUUUCCCGGUUGCACCUCUGGCCAGUCAUUGGACUCUGCCUGCUGCCUGACCCAAGCAUUUGGCCUGAUUACUGGACUGAAUUUUGUGCCUCUUGAUUCCUUCUGUCUCUGAACCACCUCACUGCAUUUGCAGAAGUCACAUGAUGCUGAAUGAGAUGCCUACUCUCUGCACUGGACCUCCACCCUCUUCACAGUCCACUCAUCUCAAAGGAGACCUAUUUGAAAAGAGCAGGAAGUACAAGCUGCCGUACCUGGUCUAUUUAAUAAUUUUUACAGUAUCAAAAUAUUGUUCAUAUCUGAAGGUUGUUUUGUAAUUAUACCUUGUUUUCCUUACUUUUUCAGAGAACCAUUGAAGAUGUAUAAAAAAUGUGCACUAGUCAGUAUUUUUAAUGCUCAACAAUACUUGGUCCUAACAGAUUUUUUUCAAUAUUCCAUGUACAGUACUCUAGAGUAGACCACAUAUUUUAUUUGAGGUUUAUUCAAGCUAAUUUAGCAUGACAUGAUUCCCAUAUAAGAAAAUCCAUGUACAAUAAAAAAGAAAUGUAUUUAUGUUCUGUGCUUAAUACAGUUUGCACAUGGUAUUUUGCUAAAUAUUUCAAUAUAUGAUUUAUACUUUAUGUUAUAUCAAGACUGGUGCUUAUGUUUUGAAGGGGAAAUGCUAAUUUUUACUCUACAAAUUAAUGUAUCACAAUUAAAAAUUUAUUUAUUUGGAA